CAUCUUCUUUCAUAAAUUUUCUUUCUUUUGAUUAGGGUCUCUUUAAGAUAGGAAAUUUCGGUGAAAACCAGGAGCGUCGCGCCAUAUAUGAUUGGAUUUAUCGGGUUGUGCAAGCGACUGCACUUGAAGAAUAGCAGUGAGGAACGUGGAAUGGCUUUUUUUGAAAGUAAUAAAAGGUUAAAUGCCAUGUCACUCUGGGAAAAGAUGCACUUUGAGAAAGAGUGGCUCUAAAUUUAGGGAAUCGAUGAUGGAACCUUUUU